rnacentral:rRNA from 1 species
AACGAACGCUGGCGGCAGGCUUAACACAUGCAAGUCGAGCGCCCCGCAAGGGGAGCGGCAAACGGGUGAGGAAUACAUGGGAAUGUACCUUUCAGUUCGGAAUAGCCUCGGGAAACUGGGAUUAAUACCGGAUGUGCUCUACGGAGGAAAGAUUUAUCGCUGAAAGAUCAGCCCAUGCCUGAUUAGUUAGUUGGUAGGGUAAUGGCCUACCAAGACAACGAUCAGUAGCGGGUUUGAGAGGAUGAUCCGCCACACUGGGACUGAGAUACGGCCCAGACUCCUACGGGAGGCAGCAGUGAGGAAUAUUGGACAAUGGGCGCAAGCCUGAUCCAGCCAUGCCGCGUGAAUGAUGAAGGCCUUAGGGUUGUAAAGUUCUUUCAGUGGGGAAGAUAAUGACUGUACCCACAGAAGAAGCCCCGGCUAACUCCGUGCCAGCCGCCGCCGUAA